rnacentral:rRNA from 1 species
GAUGAACGCUAGCGGCAGGCCUAAUACAUGCAAGUCGAACGAGAUUAAGGGGCUUGCUCCUUAUGAAAGUGGCGCACGGGUGCGUAACGCGUAUGCAACCUACCUCAAUCAGGGGGAGUAGCCCGAAGAAAUUCGGAUUAAUACCGCAUAACAACACAGGAUAGCAUUAUCCAAUGUUCAAAUAUUUAUAGGAUUGAGAU